UACAGAGGGGGCAAGCGUUAUUCGGAAUUAUUGGGCGUAAAGGGCGCGUAGGCGGCUUUGCAAGUGACGGGUGAAAUCCCACGGCUUAACCGUGGAACUGCCUGUCAGACUGCAUGGCUUGAGACCAGGAGAGGUGAGUGGAAUUCCCAGUGUAGCGGUGAAAUGCGUAGAUAUUGGGAGGAACACCAGUGGCGAAGGCGGCUCACUGGACUGGUACUGACGCUGAGACGCGAAAGCGUGGGGAGCAAACAGG
rnacentral:rRNA from 1 species